AGCCCCUUAGUGUAGCGGUUAAGCAUCUGAGACUCUGAAUCUCGGGACAUCGGUUCGAAUCCGAUAGGGGCUA
rnacentral:tRNA from 1 species